GACGAACGCUGGCGGCGUGCCUAAUACAUGCAAGUAGGACGCACAGUUUAUACCGUAGCUUGCUACACCAUAGACUGUGAGUUGCGAACGGGUGAGUAACGCGUAGGUAACCUACCUAUUAGAGGGGGAUAACUAUUGGAAACGAUAGCUAAUACCGCAUAACAGUAUGUAACACAUGUUAGAUGCUUGAAAGAUGCAAUUGCAUCGCUAGUAGAUGGACCUGCGUUGUAUUAGCUAGUAGGUAGGGUAAAGGCCUACCUAGGCAACGAUACAUAGCCGACCUGAGAGGGUGACCGGCCACACUGGGACUGAGACACGGCCCAGACUCCUACGGGAGGCAGCAGUAGGGAAUCUUCGGCAAUGGGGGGAACCCUGACCGAGCAACGCCGCGUGAGUGAAGAAGGUUUUCGGAUCGUAAAGCUCUGUUGUUAAGGAAGAACGAGUGUGAGAAUGGAAAGUUCAUGCUGUGACG
rnacentral:rRNA from 1 species